rnacentral:rRNA from 1 species
CAGUAGCCGCGGGAAUACGUAGGUGGCAAGCGUUGUCCGGAAUUAUUGGGCGUAAAGGGCUCGCAGGCGGUUUCUUAAGUCUGAUGUGAAAGCCCCCGGCUCAACCGGGGAGGGUCAUUGGAAACUGGGAAACUUGAGUGCAGAGGAGGAGAGUGGAAUUCCACGUGUAGCGGUGAAAUGCGUAGAGAUGUGGAGGAACACCAGUGGCGAAGGCGACUCUCUGGUCUGUAACUGACGCUGAGGAGCGAAAGCGUGGGGAGCGAACAGGAUUAGAUACCCCGGUAGUCCCUGUCUCUUAUAC